GACGAACGCUGGCGGCGUGCUUAACACAUGCAAGUCGAACGGAAAGGCCCUGCUUUUGUGGGGUGCUCGAGUGGCGAAAGGGUGAGUAACACGUGAGUAACCUGCCCUUGACUUUGGGAUAACUUCAGGAAACUGGGGCUAAUACCGGAUAGGAGCUCCUGCUGCAUGGGGGGGGUUGGAAAGUUUCGGCGGUUGGGGAUGGACUCGCGGCUUAUCAGCUUGUUGGUGGGGUAGUGGCUUACCAAGGCGUUGACGGGUAGCCGGCCUGAGAGGGUGACCGGCCACAUUGGGACUGAGAUACGGCCCAGACUCCUACGGGAGGCAGCAGUGGGGAAUAUUGCACAAUGGGCGGAAGCCUGAUGCAGCAACGCCGCGUGCGGGAUGACGGCCUUCGGGUUGUAAACCGCUUUCGCCUGUGACGAAGCGUGAGUGACGGUAAUGGGUAAAGAAGCACCGGCUAACUACGUG
rnacentral:rRNA from 1 species